rnacentral:rRNA from 1 species
UAUCCACGCCGUAAACGAUGAGUGCUAGCUGUUGGGACCUUAGGUUUCAGUGGCGUCGCUAACGCAUUAAGCACUCCGCCUGGGGAGUACGGUCGCAAGAUUAAAACUCAAAGGAAUUGACGGGGACCCGCACAAGCGGUGGAGCAUGUGGUUUAAUUCGAGGCAACGCGAAGAACCUUACCAGACCUUGACAUGCCUCUCGCGGAUUUCAGAGAUGAUUUCCUUCAGUUCGGCUGGAGAGUGCACAGGUGCUGCAUGGCUGUCGUCAGCUCGUGUCGUGAGAUGUUGGGUUAAGUCCCGCAACGAGCGCAACCCUCAUCCUUAGUUGCCAGCAUUUAGUUGGGCACUCUAAGGAAACUGCCGGGGUCAACCCGGAGGAAGGUGGGGAUGACGUCAAGUCUUCAUGGCCCUUAUGGUCUGGGCUACACACGUGCUACAAUGGUAAUGACAAUGAGCAGCGACCCCGCGAGGGAUAGCUAAUCUCCAAACAUUAUCU